CGAACCACCACCCUCCUGACUCAGAGCAGCAAGGGGAAGUGCAGUAGGAAGCUGAGUAUACAGCAAGAUAAUAUCUAACAACGGUUUUCAGAAUUCAGUAGCUGAUAAUAAUUGCUCGCUUAAGUGUCCUAAGGCUUUAAUUUGCCAGAACCUGAAAGCAACCCAGAUGCCCCUCAACUGAAGAAUGAACAGAGAAAAUGUAGUACAUUUAUGCAGUGGAGUACUACUUAUCGGAAAAAAAAAAACAAAAAACAAUGGAAUCUUGAAAUUCGAAGGCACAUGGAUGGAACUAGAAGAAACCAUCCUCAGUGAGAGCCUUCAUCCAGUAGCUGAUGGAAGCAGAAGCAGACACCCACAGCUGAACACUGAGCUGAAUUCCUGGAAUCCAGUUGCAGAAAGAGAGGAGUGAUGAGCAAAAGGGGUCAAGACCAGGCUGGAGAAACCCACAGAAACAGCUGACCUGAACAAGGGGGAGCUCAUGGACCCCAGACUGAUAUCUGGGAAACCAGUAUAGGACUGAUCCAGACCACCUGAAUGUGGGUGUCAGUUAGGAGAUCUGGGGCCUCUGGUAGUGGAUCAGUAUUUAUCCCUAGUACACGAAUGGACUUUGGGAGCCCAUUCCACAUAGAGGCCUAGACACAUGGGGGAGGGCCUAGGCCCUGCUCCAAAUGAUAUGACAGACUUUUAAGAUCCCCCAGGAAAGGCUUCAACCUCCCUAGGGAGCAGGAAGGGGAAGGGAUGGUGUGGGACAGGAGAGGAGGGGAGGGAGAGGGAACUGGGAUUGACAUAUAAAACAAGCUUGUUUCUAAUUUAAAUUUUAAAAAAAUCACCAUUUUAAAAAAAAGAUCUGCUGUCUGUGCUAUAGUAAAUACUUAACACAUCAUAAGACACACAGUUGCAGCUGUUGCUGGCAUGUUAUUGUGGUGUUUGAUGCAGCUCUGUAACUUAGUCAGUUAUCUAAGUUAUCAAACUUAUUAUCAUUGAUCUUCAUGUAGAAUUAUGAGAAAUAAUCUCUUUGGAUCUCCUUUAUUGGCAAG
rnacentral:lncRNA from 1 species